rnacentral:rRNA from 1 species
GACGAACCGAGCGAACGUUGUUCGGAAUCACUGGGCUUAAAGGGUGCGUAGGCGGGCUGCCAAGUUUGAGGUGAAAUCCUCCGGCUCAACCGGGGAAGCGCCUUGAAUACUGGCGGUCUGGAGGGAGGUAGGGGCGUGCGGAACUAACGGUGGAGCGGUGAAAUGCGUUGAUAUCGUUAGGAACUCCGGUGGCGAAGGCGGCACGCUAGACCUCUUCUGACGCUGAGGCACGAAAGCCAGGGGAGCGAACGGG